CAGUGAUGCUCUGGAAAGAGCACCGGCCCUUGGGCUCGGUGCCGCCGAAGGGGUAACCCCGCCGCCGCAUUCUCACUGCGCCGGCCUUGGGGAAAACUCUCAGGUUCCGUGACAGAGGGGGCUCC
rnacentral:ncRNA from 2 species